GUCCUUGUAUAACAAAAUUAGUCUAAGAAUUUUAGUUGCCUGACCAUAAUUUGCUUGUAAACAACGUAAACAUAAACUUGUUCUGGAAAUGUCGAGUGUCGCUGGUACUGAUAUCGAAAAGAACGAAUACACUCAAUACAGUAAGUUCACGAUAAAGCUCGUGCAUGAAAGAGAUAACGAAUGAUAUCUUUGACAACCUGAAGUAUGUUAACGCAACGCCAUGAAAUCGAAGCUGCGACAAUCGAGAAGCUGCGAAAACCUUUGGAUCUUUUCAGAGAGCUUGAAAAACAAGAUUUUGUCGGGCAUGGAAGACCUAGACGGGCUCUGGAAGUUGCUAGAAAUGUCCAGGAACCAGGUGCAAUUUCAGAAAAUAUCCACAAACUAAAGCAAGAAGAAUUCAAGCAUAGCCUAUCGAAGGGAAGAUGGCUGUGAAACUCAUUAGAAUAACAAUAUAACUGAUUCUCUAUGUUGGUCAACGUUUAUUCAUAAAUCUGGUCCUUUACCGUCACGUGUGUAUUGUAUUCUUGCCCAAUUAACCAAUAGCAAUGUUUUAGGAAAGUCACCUAUCCGUGACUCGAACAACAGGGAAAUUGGAAAUUGCUAUUGGUGGAUUUGGUCAAAAUACAAUACACACGUGACGGUGAAGGACCAGAUUUAUGAAUAAACGUUGACUAACAUCAUGAUGAGUUAUAUUGUUAUUCUAAUGAGUUUUACAGCCAUCUUCCCUUCGAUAGGCUAUGAUUCAAGGACUUUCAAGACUUUAUACGAACCCUAUUACCAGCGUAAUGGCAGAUUUAAAUUCCGGGAAAUAAGAACCAGUUAAAGACCAACUCUGCAUGGCCUCAUUUCUAA